rnacentral:rRNA from 1 species
GAAUUAGGGUUCGAUUCCGGAGAGCGAGCCUGAGAAACGGCUAGCACAUCCAAGGAAGGCAGCAGGCGCGCAAAUUACCCAAUCCCGACACGGGGAGGUAGUGACAAUAAAUACUGAUACAGGGCUCUUUUGGGUCUUGUAAUUGGAAUGAGUACAAUUUAAACCUCUUAACGAGGAACAAUUGGAGGGCAAGUCUGGUGCCAGCAGCCGCGGU